GACAUGCCUCCCGGCACUCCCCCAACCAACUCCCUCAGGCCUGGCCUCAACAAAAUUUGUUCCCUGAGUUUUUUUUUGGGUUUCCCAUUUUCCUUCCUUCCUUCCUUCUCUCUCUCUCUCUCUCCUUCCUUCCUGCCUGUAUAUCUCCUCUCACAGGCAAGUUUGUGCGAAUCCCAACUGGGUUGGGCUUCAAAGGAGACUCACCUGCCACGCGCUUCCCUUUGAUUUUCUUAUGGUCCCUGGUAAUUAAGUACUUGCUGACAUUUGAAGGACAAACACCAAAAUGGCGACUCCUAAUUAAUUCAUCGUAUCUGCCUCUGCUCCUUGGCAUCUCCUGUUAACUGGGUUUUACUAUACGCUAUACGCCCCAGUAUUCAAUUACCACUACUUGACACUCCACUUGGUUGCACACUUGACAAGGGAAAAACAAAACCAUAAAAAUUUAGGCAUUCCAAUUAGCUGCAAAUCCCUCCGUUCGUUGCACUGCCGAACUUGUAGUGUUACUGUAGCCUUUAGCUUUCCGCACUAGGCGGCUUAUUUGACAUAUCCAAUUUACUGAUUCCUCAUGGGUGUUUUAAUUUUUUUUCAAAAAAAAAAAAAAAAAAAGGAAGGUCCAAUUUCUACUCCGCUUUAUAGGUGAAUGGGAGCAAAAUCUUGAAGGUUGAACCCAUGGAUCAUAGAAAAACGCAUUCUCCAUCCGGAUAUGGCAAACCCCCCUGGGUAUUCAGAGGCAGCGCCCUAUACCAGCUCCAUCUUGUCAAAGCAGAGACUGCUCGAGCUUUCAUCCCCAAGGAGUUCAGAUUGGUUGAAGCUUUUGGGUACACUCUUGGUGGAUUCUUUCUCGCUAAUUAUGAUGACAGCCCUGCUGGGAAAUUUGAUGAGCUUGUGGUGAUUGCAGGCACUGUAUGGAACCCACCAACAUCUUGUGCAUGGGCUGCCAGGGUGCUGGUGAACAGUGAUGAAGCUUGCAUUCAUGGACAAAAGGAUAUUGGACUUCCAAGCCAAGUUGCAAAAUUUUCAAAGACAGUUAGAGCAAUUGCAAAGACUUCAGAAACUAAAACCAGUGGAUUCCUGAAUAUGGUUGGCAUGUUUAGUCUUGAUGGCCCUAAAAAUUCUAUGGACGUACAAGUGUCUGAAAUGAAGGGUAUGGAAGAGAUGAAUAUCUGCAACAUCAACUUUAGUGCCCCUGCCUCUGAACUGGAGUCCAGCGGGUGGAUGGGUCCACUUGUUAAACUGUCGCUUCCGAGCUUUAGUGGGCGGACCAAGUACAACCAUCACCUCCUCAAGUAUUCUUGCCAGAUUGAGUGCAGGUUUCUCUUUGCUCUUUUGCAUGUAUUCGAGCUGUCAUUCAAUAUUUAGACUGCUAGCGAAGCCAUUGUUGGAGUCUUUUCUGCCUGCCAUACGGAGGGUUCUUUUCCAAAUACAUUAAGGGAGUCUCUGAACAGCAUGGAAUGCUGAAAGAUACAUUCUUUUAUUGAGAACACCAAAAAAGGGUGAGAGCAGUGGCACCUGCAAAAGUAUUAGGGCCUCCUCCCCCUGCUGUGGAUGUAGAUGAAGAAAGAUCUUGCAGAGAGUUGAGGAGAAAGAAAAGAAGCCUCAGCGUGUCAGUGUUGCUAUCCAAACCAAUUUUAGCGCUGCAGUUCAAUCGUCUGGAAAUGAAGGU